GACGAACGCUGGCGGCGUGCUUAACACAUGCAAGUCGAACGGAAAGGCCCUGCUUUUGUGGGGUGCUCGAGUGGCGAACGGGUGAGUAACACGUGAGUAACCUGCCCUUGACUUUGGGAUAACUUCAGGAAACUGGGGCUAAUACCGGAUAGGAGCUCCUGCUGCAUGUUGGGGGUUGGAAAGUUUCGGCGGUUGGGGAUUGACUCGCGGCUUAUCAGCUUGUUGGUGGGGUAGUGGCUUACCAAGGCUUUGACGGGUAGCCGGACUGAGAGGGUGACCGGCCACAUUGGGACUGAGAUACGGCACAGACUCCUACGGGAGGCAGCAGUGGGGAAUAUUGCACAAUGGGCGGAAGCCUGAUGCAGCAACGCCGCGUGCGGGAUGACGGCCUUCGGGUUGUAAACCGCUUUCGCCUGUGACGAAGCGUGAGUGACGGUAAUGGGUAAAGAAGCACCGGCUAACUACGUG
rnacentral:rRNA from 1 species